AUGUUGAGACGCGAGCAAUCAGCCCAAGUUCAGUUGAUUUGGAACUGACGAAAGAACACAAUUUUACAGUAAUAGAUUUCAGGAUUCCGAACCUUCUGUGCGAAACAACAACGCUUUCCCUGGGGACUGAAUAUUUACCAUCCGAAUUUGGAAACAACUUCUUGUCGGCCAAAGGACGUUAAAUAUUAAUGUGCCAGUCAUGGAUAUGAUGGAAGACCUAAUGUCCGAAGCUGGCAUGGAUGGAAGCGGAAUAAUAUCCAGUUAUCCAAACAUGUCUAAUUCUCUGGACAAUAGAUAUGGAUUGUGUAAUAUUUCACGCCAUGCUGGUUUGCCCUUUUGCUUAAACAGAAGCUCAGGGGUGGAUGAAUUCAGACCAGACUACUCUCAUGGUUUUGCAAUGCAACGCAUCAUUUCUAUAGUGGUACCAAUCAUAUUUGGCAUCAUUGUUGUAGUUGGGUUCAUUGGCAACGCCCUUGUUGUUGUAGUUGUGGCGGCCAAUCAACAGAUGCGUAACACAACCAACUUGCUCAUCAUCAAUCUAGCGCUGGCAGAUCUUUUAUUUAUCGUAUUUUGCGUUCCGUUCACCGCAUCUGAUUACGCUUUACCUUUUUGGCCAUUCGGUGACGCCUGGUGUAAAAUUGUCCAGUACUUGGUCAUCGUCACAGCAUACGCCAGUGUAUAUACUUUAGUCCUUAUGUCGCUGGAUCGCUACUUAGCCGUGGUCCAUCCCAUCACUUCAAUGUCUAUUCGAACGGAGGCGAACACAUAUUGGGCCAUCGCCGUUACCUGGGUUGUUAUAUUUGUGGCCUGUGUUCCAUUACUGAUGGCUCACGGGGAAGUUAUGUAUCUCUUCGCCGAAGAAGAAUAUUCUGUGUGCGUCUUUCUCCAAAAGGAGGGUUGGAGCUAUCACGUCUUUCAAAUCACUUUUUUUGCGACUUCUUACGUUAUCCCACUUUUGCUUAUUUGUGGAUUGUACAUAUGUAUGCUUAUGCGCUUGUGGAGGGGGGUGGCUCCAGGUGGGCGAGUUUCGGCCGAGAGCCGGCGUGGUAAGAAGCGCGUUACUCGCAUGGUUUGCAUAGUAGUCGUCAUAUUCGCCGUGUGUUGGUGCCCCAUUCAACUCGUUCUCGUUUUAAAAAGUUUAGCCUUGUUUGAAAUCACACCCUUGACGGUAAUGAUACAAAUCAUUUCCCACGUUUUAGCGUACAUGAACUCCUGCGUGAAUCCUUUUCUGUAUGCCCUGAUAUCCGAUAACUUUCGGAAAGCGUUUCGCAAAGUCGUUUACUGCCGGUCUUUGGGAUUUGCGCUUCCCAGUUGCGAGCAGCGCCAUCAGCCCAACAAUGGCGAGAAAUCCGACAUUCGACAGCCUCUCUUUACUGGAAACACAGGCAACACGGGAAACACUGGGUUUACCGGAAACACUAACAUGAUGAAGUCUACCGUAGUGCACGCUUCGAAUAACGCUGACGCCGAAGCCAUUGACGUUCUGUGAACAACAACAACAUUUCAACAACCGAGUGAUUUCUAUUUCAACCUGGAAAUUGACAAAAAAAAAAUAUAAAUAUAAAAAAAAAAAAACGACAAAAAAAAUGAUACACCGCUGGGAUAAAUAAAUGCUGCAACGUAUAAAGUGCCAACCGAAGCGAAUGCCCAUGAGGAACAGUACCGGUACCAGUGAAAAAAAAACAAAAAAAAAAACAUGUCAUAGGCUUUUAAAUAUUUUACAUUUUCGCAACCACAUUCCACAUAACACUACUUACCCCAUCCCGAAGGUUUGUCAGAUUUUGUUUUUAUUGUUAAAAAAUUGUAAAUGACGUUUAUCUGAUAAUUAUGCUUUCGUUGAAUUCAUGAAAAUGUGUCGUACCGUUAAAAAUUCUUUUUCGAGUCUUGUAAUCAUUCGCUCCGAAGAAAUUUUGAUCUGAGACAAAUGACAUAUUUGUGGCAGAUUAACAAGAAUAUUCCAGUUAGUCGUUUUUUUUGUUUUGUUUCUGACUUUGAUUUUAUGCCAAUAUGCUGCUGCUGCUUUAUAGGAAAAAGUUGAAGUUCCAUGAUAAUUCUUCACAUUUACUGAUUAGUGAUUUAUCCGAGGAUUUAUCUAUUAUUUGUAAAUAAAAUGCUUGAAUUUUAAUUAAAUUAUUGCUGCUCGUGUUUAAGAUAUAAAUGAAAUCGCGAAGGAAAGCUAGUUUGCGCCAAUCAAACAGUUCCGUUCACGCAUCUCAUGAUUUAUUUAUUUCUUAUGUUGCAUAUUGAUUGCUGUUUCGUGAAUUUAAUCCCAUCAUAUGUUCAAUUGUGAAUUCAGUUACUCUUCAAUUUUUCAAUACCGUAUAGGAUUAAAACUGUGUCAGAGCUAUGGGAACUUAUUAGUCUCCAAACGAUUUCCAUAGCUCUGACUGUAUAUUAAUGUAAAUUGAAUGUAAUUACUACCAUUUUUCAACCCCCAGUUGCACUACAUUGACAAUGUUACUUCGGGGAAAAUAUGAAAUUCAGAAAAAAUAUAGCAUUUUGAUCUUAAAGCGCCAAAACGAAAGAUUUUUAAAAUUUGAGAUAAAAUCAACACUGAAAGUGUUUUAAUUUUCAAUUAAAUCUCAUAUAAUUCACGUGUGUAACAUUCCAACAACUGCUGCAUGUUAGGGUGUUGCUCAGUUUGCAACUUUAACUAUGAUUCCUAGACGACAAUAUAAAUCCACAUUAAACCAACAAAACAAAUUGAAAAUGAAACAGUUUUGUGUCAUGUUACCCUCCAUAUUUAAUUAAUACAUAGUAAUGAC
rnacentral:misc_RNA from 1 species